AUCUCUAAGCCAUGCCACCCUGAAUGUGCUUAAUCUCGUCUGAUCUUGGAAACUAAGUAGGGUCGGGCCUGGUUAGUACUUGGAUGGGAGACCAGCUAGGAAGACCACGCGCUGUAGGUG
rfam:Pteropus alecto contig6434, whole genome shotgun sequence.